AUGCCAUGUAUCUUACACAUGUCAAGUUGUAAAGGGUGCUUUAUAGACACUCUAAGACAUAGGCUAUUUCUUUGCAAAAUUGUGCUCAAUAUGUGGCAAUUCCGUUAAGAUCUCUUCCUUAGUUGGGGGAAGAAUCCGCACGAAUCGGAUUUUUUGAGGAACGUAUCGAGAGAGAAUUUGAUUUGGUUAGACAAUGUGUGGUUGGUAAACAAGAAUCGAUUUUUUAGAAAGGUACGAAAUGUAUCUUCAAAUAUUCAAUAUGAUUCCACAAGAUCUAGUUUCGUUCAAGUAACAGAUUCUAACCAACUGAAAGGAUCUUCUGAUCAAUCCAGAGAUCAUUUGGAUUCCAUUAGAAAUGAGGAUUCAGAAUAUCACACAUUGAUCAAUCAAAGGUUCGAUGGGCACAAAAUUAAUUCAAGUUAAUUAGUCCUCCAUU
rnacentral:lncRNA from 1 species